UACGUAGGGAGCAAGCGUUGUCCGGAAUCAUUGGGCGUAAAGCGCGCGUAGGUGGCUUCGUAAGUCCGUUGUGAAAGUCAAAGGCUCAACCUUUGAAAGCCGAUGGAUACUGCGGAGCUAGAGUACGGAAGAGGCGAGUGGAAUUCCUGGUGUAGCGGUGGAAUGCGCAGAUAUCAGGAGGAACACCGGUGGCGAAGGCGGCUUGCUGGGCCAGUUCUGACGCUGAGGAGCGAAAGCGUGGGGAGCGAACAGG
rnacentral:rRNA from 1 species